ACGUACCUUCAGGGCGACGAGGUGUGGAAGGAGAUUUGCAUCAAGCGCUCCCCCGUCGUGAAGCGCGCGCGCUGGGUCCUCGUCAAUUCCUUCUACGACCUAGAGGCGCCCAGUUUUGAUUUCAUGGCCAGCGAGCUCGGGCCUCGAUUCAUCCCCGCGGGACCACUGUUCUUGCUCGACAAUUCCAGGAAGAAUGUGGUGCUUCGACCCGAGAACGAGGAUUGCCUUCACUGGAUGGAUGCGCAGGAGCGUGGAUCUGUUCUCUACAUCUCAUUUGGCAGCAUCGCGGUGCUGAGCGUGGAGCAGUUCGAGGAGCUCGCGGGAGCUCUCGAGGCAUCGAAGAAGCCAUUCUUGUGGGUGAUUCGACCUGAGCUGGUGGUGGGUGGUCACUCGAACGAAUCUUACAAUGGGUUUUGCGAGAGGACCAAGAACCAGGGAUUCAUCGUUUCCUGGGCGCCACAGCUGCGAGUUCUCGCCCAUCCCUCCAUGGGAGCGUUUCUCACUCACUGCGGAUGGAAUUCCGUCCAGGAGAGCAUCGCGAAUGGCAUUCCAAUGCUGGGGUGGCCUUACGGGGGCGAGCAAAACACCAACUGUAAGUUUAUAGUGGAGGACUGGAAGAUCGGGGUUAGAUUCUCCAAGACAGUGGUGCAGGGAUUGAUCGAGCGGGGAGAGAUCGAGGCUGGCAUAAGAAAGGUGAUGGAUAGCGAGGAGGGGAAGAAGAUGAAGGAGAGAGUGGAGAACUUGAAGAUCCUUGCGAGGAAAGCUAUGGACAAAGAGAAUGGGAAGUCGUUUCGUGGCCUCCAGGGAUGGCUGGAAGAUCUCAAAGUUAUGAAGCUGGUUCGCGAGUGAGUGAACGAUGCAUUCUUUGAUAAGAAUUUUCUAUCUAUCAGUUCUAAAGAUAAACACAUGCUAGUCAAGUAAAACGCUUGUGCCUGGGAUUUGGAUAAUGUUGGAAAUGGCUGAGUAAACAAACAAAAAUUACUUAACAAAAUUGUUCAGGAAUGUUCUAUUGCUAGUGGCCGACCAUAAGUUACAAUCAAAGCGAAUGGACGUUAAUUAUAUGCUCUAUGUAACAUUUCUUGGUGAGGAAAAAAGCAGAUGCAAAAUAACUGUAAGACUUAGUUAAUUAAAACUAACAUGAAAACGUUUGGAUUUUCGAUGUUUACAACAAAAAACUCUACAAAUGCUUGAGUACAGUAUUGUUGCUCGGAAUCUUUGCUAACUUGCAUUUGCCCAGACCAGGCAUCAUUUCCAGCCAAAGAGAAGACAACGAGCGUUCUCUUGAUCGAUAAUCAUGCACUUAUUUUAGGCUGGACUUAGCCACGGCCAUUUUGUGGACAAGAGCACCACUCAUGAAUUUGAUUGCUCCAAUGUUAAAUGCUCUUACCAUAUUCUCAAAGGCUGGAAGCUUCCCAGCCGCCAGGUGUAGGGACAGAUUUUUGCCACCUUCUCAAGAUUCAUGCGGCAAGUGUCCAUAGGAUCAUUGCUUGUUCAAAUUCAGGAGCUGUAAUGGAUCCGAAGCGAGCUUGCAAUUUGGGUCAAUGUGAGUCUCGUUCUAGAGCAGAAUUGCCUCUCACAACGCUUAUGCUAAUCUUCCUUUUGUAUAAGUUUUGCAGGCCUAGGGUUCGCUCUAUCAACUUGUGUAAACAUCCGUUGCCUUCCCCGCCAAGAAAACCAUUCUAGUAAAUACCAAUGAACCCUGCCAAGGAAACCAUGGCUUCUCGCAAGGUCCAUGUCUUGGCGUUUCCAGCGCCCGCGCAAGGCCAUAUCUCCCCAAUGAUCCAUCUCUGUAAGUUCAUCGCCCAAGAUCCAAGCUUCACAAUCUCCUGGGUCAAUAUCGACAGCCUCCACGACGAGUUCGUCAAGCACUGGGUGGCGCCGGCGGGGCUGGAAGAUCUGCGCCUCCAUUCCAUCCCAUUCUCGUGGAAGCUCCCGCGAGGAGUCGAUGCCAACGUCGCAGGAAAUGUGGGAGACUGGUUCACGGCAGCCGCGCGAGAGCUCCCCGGCGGUCUCGAGGAUUUGAUCCGCAAGCUCGGCGAGGAGGGGGAUCCGGUCAGCUGUAUCGUCUCGGAUUACAUCUGCGAUUGGACCCAGGAUGUGGCGGAUGUGUUUGGGAUCCCCAGGAUCAUUCUUUGGUCGGGCAAUGCGGCAUGGACGAGCUUUGAGUACCACAUUCCAGAGCUUCUGGAGAAAGAUCACAUCUUUCCAAGCAAAGGUACGAAUCUCUGUUCUUCCCUUGUUCUUCCCUUGGAAUUAAGCGUUUCCCCUAUGCUUCCCUUGUAUUUACCCUCUUCUUCCCUUGGAAUACCAUCAAAUUUCCCCUGCUCUUCCUUUGGAAUUAAACCUCCUCUUGUUGACGCAGGGAAAGCUUCCCCGGACGAGGCCAAUUCCGUGAUCAGGGCCAGGAGGUGUUGAAGGAGAUUUGCAUCAAGCGCUCCCCCGUCGUCAAGCGCGCGCGCUGGGUCCUCGUCAAUUCCUUCUACGACCUCGAGGCGCCCACCUUCGAUUUCAUGGCCAGCGAGCUCGGGCCUCGAUUCAUCCCCGUGGGGCCACUGUUCCUGCUCGACGAUUCCAGGAAGAAUGUGGUGCUUCGACCCGAGAACGAGGAUUGCCUUCACUGGAUGGAUGCGCAGGAGCCUGGAUCGGUGCUCUACAUCUCGUUUGGCAGCGUCGCGGUGCUGAGCGUGGAGCAGUUUGAGGAGCUCGCGGGAGCUCUCGAGGCAUCGAAGAAGCCAUUCUUGUGGGUGAUUCGACCUGAGCUGGUGGUGGGUGGUCACUCGAACGAAUCUUACAAUGGGUUUUGCGAGAGGACCAAGAACCAGGGAUUCAUCGUUUCCUGGGCGCCACAGCUGAGAGUUCUCGCCCAUCCCUCCAUGGGAGCGUUUCUCACGCACUGCGGAUGGAAUUCCGUCCAGGAGAGCAUCGCUAAUGGCAUUCCAAUGCUGGGGUGGCCUUAACGGGGCGAGCAAAACACCAACUGUAAGUUCAUAGUGGAGGACUGGAAGAUCGGGGUUAGAUUCUCCAAGACAGUGGUGCAGGGAUUGAUCGAGCGAGGAGAGAUCGAGGCCAGCAUAAGAAAGGUGAUGGAUAGCGAGGAGGGGAAGAAGAUGAAGGAGAGAGUGGAGAACUUGAAGAUCCUUGUGAGGAGAGCUAUGGACAAAGAGAAUGGGAAGUCAUUUCAUGGCCUCCAGGGAUGGCUGGAAGAUCUCAAAGCUAUGAAGCUGGAUUGCGAGUGAGUGAAUGAUGCAUUCUUUGAUAAGAACUUUCUAUCUAUCAGUUCUUAAGAUAAAGACAUGCUAGUCAAGUAAACCGUUUGUGCGGGAUUUGGAUAAUGUCUGAGCAAAUAAACAAAAAUUAUUUGACAUAAUUGCUCAGGAUGCUUUAUUGCUAGUGGUUGACCAUAAGUUAUAAUCAAAGCAAUGGACAUUAUAGUCUUGUGUUCUAUGCAACAUCUCUCGGUGAGGAAAAAAGCAAAUGUAAAAGAACUGUAAGACUAAAAAAUUUUUAUUUUUACAUAAAAAUGUUUGGGAUUGUCAAAAACAAACUUUACAAAUACUUGAGUAUAGUAUUUGAAACGAACAAGAAAGCGAACUCUAGGCUAACCUCCCAACCCUUAAAGGUGUUAUGGCUUUAAAUCCCAUAGGUUAUGGAAUAUUUUUAGAAUAUUUCUAUGUUUCAUGUCAUUCUCCCAUCCCUCAUGACUCAACCACAUACAGCAGCAUUGAGAAGCUAAACGAGCCUCAUAUGAAGGGAAUUCAAGACAAUACGGCCAUAAAAAAAACAUGUGCAAACGGCAACAGAAACAUUGUGACAAGCAGCCAUAAAAGAAAGAAAGCAAUAUGGCUUUCUCACAUGACAAUACGGUUAUGAAAACAAAAGAAUGAGAAUAGAACAAACAACUCAAAUCAUAUAGCAAUACAGUGUAAGUUACAAAUUUUUCCUUUCUAAUUUGUCAACUUACCUCAUCUAUCCGACCAACACUGUUUUAACCUUAGUUAGGUUCCCUCACCAAAGUUUUCGCUUAUUGUACUAACUCCUACUUAGUCUUACUUGGUCCUAUUUGGUUUUAUCUAUUCAUUGCAUGAGCAAUAGAACAUUAGCCAUUUGUUCACAGAUUCCCAAAUUUCUCUCAAUCCCCCUCCCCGAGUUAGACUGGACUUAAGGUUCGACUACACUCCCCGCAAGUAUAAACAGCCAAACACACUAAGCUUCUAAAUUCUUAACAUCCCUUGGUACAACAAGACUUGAUCAUAGGACCUUCUAAAUCCCAAGCCUUGGGUGCAACACUUGCUUCGGGAUGUUGAGGAAAAACACUAUAGCCUAAUGGCCUAGUAUGGGUACCUCUACUCCCCCACUUCCAUCCCGAAGGGAAGACCUAAGCCCCUAAAAAGGGCGAGGAUCAAUGAUCUACAAGGUACUUAAGUGGGGCACCACUUCAUAUGAGCCAGGACCACCAUAGUCAGUUUUCCUUUCGGGAGUGAGAGUUGCUCUUGAGCAUUUCCUUGGUGGCCCAUCCGACACCACCCAAGUCCAUACCCACUCCCACCCAAGGCCCUUUGGUCCCAAUCUCAACCUCAAGUCAGUUUGGAAGCACCACUGGAAAGUUCGUUCAAGAUUGAUUUCUGGACCUCAUUAUUUCUACUAUACUUUUUUGGAACCCCCUUCCUCCUUCAUCCGCGAGAACAAGGCGAGAGCGAGCUCGACCUCGCUGUAGUUACAGUGGCCCAUGAUGAUCGCAGUCCAGGAAACCACGUCGUGGAACUCCAUCUUGUUGAAGACGAUCUUGGCAUACUCCAGGCUUCCACACUUGGAGUACAUAUCCACGAGACCGCUGGAGACGAACACAUCCCCGGAGUACUGGUUCUUGACAAUCUCGGCAUGGAUCACUGCUCCUCUUUCCAAAGUAGCCACCUUGACAAGCCUGCCACCUUCGACCACUGUCCCUUUCUCUCGAGCUGCGACCAUGGAGCAGGCCUGGAGAGCUGCCAGAUAAGUUCUCGCGUUUGGGAGAAGACCAUCUUCCUGGAUCCGCGAGAAGAGCUCGAGAGCUCCCUUGCCAUCGCCGUUCUGGACGUAACCUUUGAUCAUGGUGUUCCACGAGAUGGCAUCACGGAACUGGAUCCCAUCGAAGACCUUGCGAGCAUCCGCGACGAGGCCAAAGUGCGCGUAGCUGUCGAUCAGAGUGUUGGCCACCGACACAUCUCGAUCGUUCUUGGUGGCGACGAGAUCGCUGUGGAGGCUCAUGAGAUCCCAUCUCUCGCUGCAAGCCUUGAUCGCGAGCACGAUCACUGGCACGCACGGCCGGAUCCCACACUGGCGCAUUCUUCCAUAGGUAUCCCGCGCCUUCUCCCCCUCGAGCAGCCGCUUGGUCACGUACACGGGCUUGUCGGCUGUCCGGGACGGCGCCUUGAACCAUUUGAGCGGCGCGAGCUGUGACAGGCGCUGCGUCGCUAGGAUCGGCGAUGGCCGGAAGACCGGCAUUCGAUCGAGAGAGAGGAGACUUACCGCGAUGGCGAUGGCGGCAUUGCUCCUCCCAACAGCCCUAGUUUUAGGGAUUUGUCCCUUUCAUAUAAUUUGCCAGAGAUGGGUAUUUUGGACGAGCAAGCGUUUUACUUGACUAGAUCCAAACGAGCAGUGUUACGUCGUUAGAACUAACUUGAAAAACAUAAAGAAACAAUUUAAAAUAGAUGAUUGAAAGAAAGCUUUAGAGAUGAUAAACUAAAGCUUAAGAGGACAACUGGAACAAUGAAAAGUCGCACUUGCCCGGGAAAGGCAUUUAAAGGUUUCAUAAUAAACACAACUUCUGCAAAAGCUGGUCGAUGUGUACGAUCAAAUGGAAAACAACCAACUGGCUGGACAAGAUUCUCGUGGAUAAAGUGAUGGUUCUAUGGUUAUAAGGUCCGCAUGGAUCAAUUCUCAGAGUGGGAAGAGACCUAAGAAAUCAUGAGAUCCUUGCAAAGUUCUAGCGAUUCUUCCUCCCCCAGUAGCAAGAUCCAUGUCGUGGUCGUUCCCCUGCCCGCGCAAGGCCAUAUGUCCCCAAUGAUCCAUCUCUGCAAGCUCAUCGCUCGAGAUCCAAGCUUCACGAUCUCCUUGGUCAAUGUGGACAGCCUCCACGACGAGUUCGUCAAGCACUGGGUGGCGCCGGCGGGGCUGGAAGAUCUGCGCCUCCAUUCCAUCCCAUACUCGUGGCAGCUCCCGCUAGGAGCCGAUGCCCACGCGCUGGGAAAUGUGGGGGACUGGUUCACGGCAUCCGCGCGAGAGCUCCCAGGCGGCCUCGAGGAUUUGAUCCGCAAGCUCGGCGAGGAGGGUGAUCCGGUCAACUGCAUCAUCUCGGAUUACUUCUGCGAUUGGAGCCAGGAUGUGGCGGAUGUGUUUGGCAUCCCCAGGAUCAUUCUUUGGUCGGGAAACGCGGCAUGGACGAGCUUGGAGUACCACAUUCCAGAGCUUCUGGAGAAAGAUCACAUCUUUCCUAGCAGAGGUACGAAUCUUUGAAUUUACCAUGAACAUUAGUUCUUUCCCUCCGUCCCUUAUUCAAAUUUUGCCUGUUCUUCCCCGAUUCGUGCGCAGGGAGAGCUUCCCCGGAGGAGGCCAAUUCCGUCAUCAUUGACUACGUCCGAGGGGUGAAGCCCCUCCGCCUGGCCGAUGUGCCCGAUUACAUGCAGGGCAACGAGGUGUGGAAGGAGAUUUGCAUCAAGCGCUCCCCCGUCGUGAAGAGCGCGCGCUGGGUCCUUGUCAAUUCCUUCUACGACCUCGAGGCGCCCACCUUCGAUUUCAUGGCCAGCGAGCUCGGGCCCCGAUUCAUCCCCGCGGGGCCACUGUUCUUGCUCGACGAUUCCAGGAAGAACGUGGUGCUUCGUCCGGAGAACGAGGAUUGC
rnacentral:lncRNA from 1 species